UACAGUCAGUAGCCUACUAAGUACAAGAAAUCAGUAGGCUACGUUAAGUAGGAAGUAAUGUGGAUUACAGGUCCAUUUUACACUGUCAGCGCUGACUGGAGAAAUCAGCAUGGAUCUACAUAAGCUUCCUGGAACAAAGCUACACUGGCCCAGCAUAGUCAAUUCACAAGUGCCUCCAACAUCAACAUGUUUUAUUAUUUUACCAAGACCAAGGCCUCAUCCAGUAUGUCCAAAGCCUCCACCGAGACAGCCUUGUUGCGGUCGUGUAACUGAGUCACCAGCAGUUCAAUACCCCAGUUGCUGAAGAACUCCACGUUAGCUCGAAGUAGCACCCGCAGAUGCUUGGU